UCUGUUUACAACAGUGUCUGGAGAGAGAUCAGUGGCCAACUUGCCAGUGUUUCAAAGUAAGUGGGGUUAAACAUGUAUGUGUAUAAUGUAAAUAUUAUUACAAUGCUGUAUUUUAUGCUCACAACCUAAAAUACUGUACAAAUAAGAGAACUGUUUCUAUAUAUUUGUGUUUAUCACAAUAUGUCAAAACAUGUGAAGGGUGGAGACCACCUGCCAACACAAUUGUUUUUCAACAGUUAUUCAAUGUAUCCUAAUUUAGUGGCUUUUUUGUACACUUUAAAACAGGUUCCAGUCAGUCCUUUUCAUCACUGGGCCCUACUGCUCGCCAGUUUGAGGAUUUCCAACGGCUGAUUCUUCAGCAUCAGAGGGAAAUCGCAGAGGAAGUGAGGGAGUUGCGCUAUCAGACAACACUGAACCGUAACCUCUUACUACAGCUGACCAAUGGGACACAUUUGGACAUGGCUCUGCCAGAGGACGUUCUACUUCCUCUGAAAGAUCGGCUAAUGCUGGAAGAACUUGAACAAAGGCUUGCUCAAGAUGUUGAACUUCAAGAGAAACUGGUCAGGUUUUUGGCUGCUAAAGGGGGAAAAUACACCAAAGACUCAGUGAAGAGGAUGUUCUCCUGCAUGUUCAGCAAUGAUUUAACAAAGCUC